rnacentral:misc_RNA from 1 species
GCUGGUUCUCAGACCAAAGCCAUAAUAACUCUCAUUCUUCUCCUCAUCUUCAUGGAUUUAUCCAUAGGCCAAGUUAUGGGAGUUGCACAAGGCAUGAGUUAUGCAAAUCCACAAGGUGAUGAGGCCAUUACUAUUCAUAUGAAGAAGAUGAGAAAGCUCAUAGAGAUAGAUGCUACGUUGGACUAUGAACCUGGAAAACAUAAUUCCAAACAUGAACCACCGAAGACUUGAAAAGCUGGUGAUGGCAACCGCAGAUAUCUAUAUCUACUUUGCCCAAGCAUCAAUGCCGUAAGCCAUAAGAGUUUCACUGCAGCAAUAAUAAUAAUAAUA